rnacentral:rRNA from 1 species
GACGAACGCUGGCGGCGUGCUUAACACAUGCAAGUCGAACGAAGUGGCGAACGGGUGAGUAACGCGUAAUCAACCUGCCCUUCAGAGGGGGACAACAGUUGGAAACGACUGCUAAUACCGCAUAAUGAAGGAGGGGAUUGCGUCGUAUGAGCUUGUUGGAGGGGUAACGGCCAACCAAGGCGAUGAGCAGUCGCCUGUUUGAUGGUGUGAACGGCCACAUUGGGACGUGGACACGGCCCAGACUCCUACGGGAGGCAGCAGUGGGGAAUCUUCCGCAAUGGACGAAAGUCUGACGGAGCAACGCCGCGUGAGUGAUGACGGCCUUCGGGUUGUAAAGCUCUGUUAAUCGGGACGCGGUACCGGAAUAGAAAGCCACGGCUAACUACGUGCCAGCAGCCGCGGUAAUUC